UUAAAUGGAUAAGCAGAGAAAGUGUUUUCUUGAGAUAGAAUCUACUCUUGGUGAAGAUGCUGUAAA
rnacentral:pre_miRNA from 1 species